UUUAACCCCAUCAGAGGAAGCAGUAUUGUAAACAAGUAAAUAUGUUUGAUUGAAUAGAUAGAGAUAGGUACUUAAAACUCGUGUUUGAUCCGGGGGGUGUUUUGCGAUAGGUCACCCCUCCCCUAAGGCCGGAUGGUUUUCAAAUCAAGAUUAUGACACCCUCCUUUGUGUUAGGAGCAUCUCUCAGUCUGAUCGUUAGUCAAUGGGGGUGCUAUCUAUAACGUCACACACGCGCAUCCUGACCAAACGCGCGUGAGAAGAAAAGUUGAUCCGGGGGGGUGUUUUGCGAUAGCUUACCCCUCCUCUAAGGCCGGAUGGUUUUCAAAUCAAGAUUAUGACACCCUCCUUUGUGUUAGGAGCAUCUCUCAGUCUGAUCGUUAGUCAAUGGGGGUGCUAUCUAUAACGUCACACACGCGCAUCCUGAGCGGAAACGUGCACCUGAGCGGAAACACGCGUGAGAAAAAAGGAGCAAACGCCUGAGCGGACACGCCCACACGUGUAGGUAAAAAGUGAGAAUUUUCCGAAAAUUUGGCUAUGACUUCGCGUCUUUGGAUUUUUCACAACGGAACAGAACAUCUACGAUCUUCUAAGCAUUGAGAGCACGGCCUUUUCAAUAGGUAAGAGUUUAUUAUUAACUUUAUUGUAAAUUUAUAAGUAUUAGAAUGCUUAUCGUUUGAUAUUAUAACUAGUUGUAGUUGGGUUUAUACGUAAAGUCUGUUUUAAUUACAGAACAAGGCCAGCCUAUCUGACGCAAUUGUCUGUGAAAACAUAUCAAACAAACGCGACCCUUCCAGGACAGUUGUAUUGAGAUUAUUUGCCGGCGACGAGUCUUCUACAACGCACGUGCUAGGCCUAAGAACGGGGGAACAUCCGGGGUCAAACAAUCGCGGCCCUUCCAGGACAGUUGUAUUGAGAUUAUUUCCCGCGACGAGCCUUCUACAACGCACGUGCUAGGCCUAAGAACGGGGAACAUCCGGGGUCUAUCCAAAAGUCGAUAGCUGUAGUAACCCCCACAGCUCAGACCAGUUUUACAAACUACGGAAGACACCGGAACAACGUCUGACUCCGAUAGUUCAGAUUUUUUUGGAUACCGUCAUUGAAGGAGUAAGAAACUACAAUCAACCCCC